GAUGAACGCUGACAGAAUGCUUAACACAUGCAAGUCAACUUGAAUUUGGGUUUUUAACUUAGGUUUGGGUGGCGGACGGGUGAGUAACGCGUAAAGAACUUGCCUCACAGCUAGGGACAACAUUUGGAAACGAAUGCUAAUACCUAAUAUUAUGAUAAUAGGGCAUCCUAUAAUUAUGAAAGCUAUAAGCGCUGUGAGAGAGCUUUGCGUCCCAUUAGCUAGUUGGAGAGGUAACGGCUCACCAAGGCGAUGAUGGGUAGCCGGCCUGAGAGGGUGAUCGGCCACAAGGGGACUGAGACACGGCCCUUACUCCUACGGGAGGCAGCAGUGGGGAAUAUUGGACAAUGGACCGAGAGUCUGAUCCAGCAAUUCUGUGUGCACGAUGAAGUUUUUCGGAAUGUAAAGUGCUUUCAGUUGGGAAGAAAAAAAUGACGGUACCAACAGAAGAAGUGACGGCUAAAUACGUGCCAGCAGCCGCGGUAAUACGUAUGUCACGAGCGUUAUCCGGAUUUAUUGGGCGUAAAGCGCGUCUAGGUGGUUAUAUAAGUCUGAUGUGAAAAUGCAGGGCUCAACUCUGUAUUGCGUUGGAAACUGUAUAACUAGAGUACUGGAGAGGUAAGCGGAACUACAAGUGUAGAGGUGAUAUUCGUAGAUAUUUGUAGGAAUGCCGAUGGGGAAGCCAGCUUACUGGACAGAUACUGACGCUGAAGCGCGAAAGCGUGGGUAGCAAACAGG
rnacentral:rRNA from 1 species